AUACGGAGGGUGCAAGCGUUGUCCGGAUUUAUUGGGUUUAAAGGGUGCGUAGGUGGUCAAUUAAGUCAGUGGUGAAAUCCUACAGCUUAACUGUAGAACUGCCAUUGAUACUGGUUGACUUGAGUACAGAUGAGGUAGGCGGAAUUUAUGGUGUAGCGGUGAAAUGCAUAGAUACCAUAAAGAACACCGAUAGCGAAGGCAGCUUACUAGACUGUAACUGACACUGAGGCACGAAAGCAUGGGUAGCGAACAGGAUUAGAAACCCCAGUAGUCC
rnacentral:rRNA from 1 species